AUUUUUCUCAUUUUAGUGUAUAUAUAUCAUUCCUGUGUUUAUUUUUUUCAUUCCGUUGGGAAAAAUGUCAUUCAGGUGGAGUGUUAUAUCAUUCCUUUGCAUACUUAUCAUUCAAGUGCGAGUCAUUUUCUUCAUUCCGGUGGAAAAAUGUCAUUUAGGUGGAGUGUUAUAUCAUUCCUGUGUAUACUUAUCAUUCACGUGCGAGUCAAUUUUUUUAAUCUCCGAUAAUUCUCAAAAGGCUUAAGAUAUCAAGUGCUCUGUAAGAGGCUUAUCAAAGAACAGUCUGAGAAACGUAAAUAAAGAAUUACACCGGAAUGACACAAAAAACUAGUACUGUUGAAAUUGACCCAUU